rnacentral:rRNA from 1 species
CUGGCGGCUGCUUAAAUGCAGUCGAACGGAGAUUCAGCAUUGGAUCUUAUUGGCAAUCGGGUGAGUAACGCGUAGGCAAUCUGCCUUCUAGAUGGGGACAACAUCCCGAAAGGGGUGCUAAUACCGAAUGUUGUAGUUGGUUCGCAUGGACUAGCUACUAAAGGUGGCCUCUGAAUAUGCUACCGCUAGAAGAUGAGCCUGCGUCUGAUUAGCUAGUUGGAGGGGUAACGGCCCACCAAGGCUUCGAUCAGUAGCCGGUCUGAGAGGAUGAACGGCCACACUGGGACUGAGACACGGCCCAGACUCCUACGGGAGGCAGCAGUGGGGAAUCUUCCGCAAUGGACGAAAGUCUGACGGAGCAACGCCGCGUGAGUGAAGAAGGUUUUCGGAUCGUAAAGCUCUUUCGUUAGGGACGAACGUGCUCUUUGUGAAUAAUGAGGAGUAAUGACGGUACCUAAAUAAGAAGCCACGGCUAACUACGUGCCAGCAGCCGCGGUAAUACGUAGGUGGCAAGCGUUGUCCGGAAUUAUUGGGCGUAAAGCGCGCGCAGGCGGGAUAUCAAGUCUGUCUUAAAAGUGCGAGGCUCAACCUCGUGAGGGGACGGAAACUGGUAUUCUUGAGUGUCGGAGAGGAAAGUGGAAUUCCAAGUGUAGCGGUGAAAUGCGUAGAGAUUUGGAAGACACCAGUGGCGAAGGCGACUUUCUGGACGAUGUCUGACGCUGAGGCGCGAAAGCUAGGGGAGCGAACGGGAUUAGAUACCCCGGUAGUCCUAGCCGUAUACGAUGGGUACUAGGUGUAGGGGUAUCGACCCCUCUGUGCC